ensembl:misc_RNA Metazoa_SRP Metazoan signal recognition particle RNA
GCCAGGCGUGGUGGCGCACGCCUGUAAUCCCAGCUACUUGGGAGGCUGAGGCAGGAGAAUCACUCGAACCCGGGAGGCUGAGGUUGCAGUGAGCUGAGAUCGUGCCACUGCACUCUAGCCUGGGUGACAGAGUGAGACUCUGUGUCAA